rnacentral:rRNA from 1 species
UGGUGGAGUGAUUUGUCUGGUUAAUUCCGUUAACGAACGAGACCUCAACCUGCUAAAUAGGUCGGCUAUUCUCUUGAAUAGACCGACACUUCUUAGAGGGACUCUCGGUUACUAGCCGAUGGAAGCUUGAGGCAAUAACA